rnacentral:rRNA from 1 species
GACGAACGCUGGCGGCAUGCCUAAUACAUGCAAGUAGAACGCAGUUGCGGACGGGUGAGUAACGCGUAGGUAGCUACCUCCUAGCGGGGGGUAACUAUUGGAGACGAUAGCUAAUACCGCAUACUGUGAGGUGGACCUGCGUUGUAUUAGUUAGUUGGGGAGGGAAAGGCUCACCAAGGCGACGAUACAUAGCCGACCUGAGAGGGUGGUCGGCCAACAGGGGACUGGGACACGGUCCAGACCCCGACGGGAGGCAGGAGGAGGGAAUCUGCGGCCAUGGACGGAAGGCUGACUGAGCAACGCCGCGGGAGUGAAGAAGGUUUUCGGAUCGUAAAGCUCUGUUGUUAGAGAAGCGGUAAUUACCGAGAAAGGGACGGCUAACUACGUGCCAGCAGCCGCGGUAAUUC